CGCUAGUUUCCAAAAAUUCACAAGAUUAGAAAGGAAUUAAGAGCCCAAACUAAUGCAUGAACUCAAAUCUUUAACCAUCUAAACUUGUUCAACAAAUGGUGUAAAGGAAGAAAGUUCAAGUCACGCGAAGCAACAAGGAAAUCAAGAAUGAGAUAAAACUCAAGUCUAAUGGUCAAGCUUUACUCGGAUCGAACACGCUUCAAAUGCGCACUAUGCGCUUCUGCUACUUUUGUAAUGAUGUUUAUGGGUCAAAAAUACUUUCGUUGUAAAUAACUUAUGUUUAGUAGCUAGACUUUAAAGUGUGACAUGCUAUGUCUUUUGCAAAAUCCUAGUUGAUGGUAAAUGUUUAAAACGUAAUGUUAC